UACGAAGGGUGCAAACGUUGCUCGGAAUUAUUGGGCGUAAAGCGCACGUAGGCGGCAUUGCAAGUCGGAUGUGAAAUCCCUCGGCUUAACCAAGGAAGUGCAUCCGAAACUGCAGUGCUUGAGUACUUAAGAGGAUCGCGGAAUUCCCGGUGUAGAGGUGAAAUUCGUAGAUAUCGGGAGGAACACCAGUGGCGAAGGCGGCGAUCUGGGAAGAUACUGACGCUGAGGUGCGAAAGCGUGGGGAGCAAACGGG
rnacentral:rRNA from 1 species